AUACAAUGCCUGUAGCGUACGUACAUGAUUAUUCAUCACGUAUAAAAAUUGCGAAGUAGUGCAAUUAUGAAUACAGUAUCAAUUGCGUCUAACAAGGGGAAAGCAAGUUGGUGCCUGUGGUGUACCAUAUUUCCACAUUUUUCCACGCGCCGUCUCAACGUGCAGCGAGAUCGCUUAUCGGCUAAUUUUCCGACAAGGAUAGAUUAUAAGGACUCCCGUGUAAGCGUCGACUAGCUGACCGUUCGACCACGAAGAAUUUCGCAACACUUUACCACCGCCGCAUAAUCGUGAUUUGCUGCUGUUGGUGCUCUACUACACCUGGACUGAAGAAAACGCGGCUGUGAGCCAGCCGCAAAUCCGCGCUUGACUUCUCAUCGGGACUUUUGCCACUCGUGCAGUUAGCGGUGACGAAAAUAUACCCGUUUUACCGGACAUCUGGGCGGGCACCCUACCCGCUGGUCAAACCGCACCGUGCAAAAGACUCGCAUACAGUCUGUAAGUGCUUUGCAUGGUGCAGGUGGUCCGAACGAAUUAUAUACCAGCAUGAUUUCUUUUCUAUCCAUCUUUCCUCGUCUAUUUAUUUUCCCUAUUUGUUCGCGUAGGGUUAUUUACUUCGCAAUAUACACCGUCACGGGGAUUUAACAGCUUUCAGAAAGGGAUUGCUAAGGAAAAAUUCGAAGAAGAAGAAGCGGAAAUGUCGGUAUCUAAGAAUAACAAGGAAUCAUGACGAAGAAGCUGUUGAGAAAAGAGGUCAGGAAUUUCCUCGGGUAACGAGGCUGAUGCUGGUGUAGGUAUACGCACUAAACGACGUCCUACGCUGCUGAUCUUCCUUUAUACGCACACAUAUGCCGGGGAAAGUGGGCUUUUAGAUGCUACGGAGCGCAGCAUUAGCGAUUCUUGAUGUGGGCGAGGUUGGGGCAAUACGGCGUCGCAUCAGCUAAUCAGCUGAUCGCUUAAGGUCGUCAAUUUUCUCAUUAUCAUAGCACGGAGGACAUUGUACGAGCUGUUGCACUUUCGUUUUAUGACAUUGCGUCAAUAAACAGUGAAAUCUAUUAUGAAAAACCAUAUUGAUAAUUAAAUGCGAUACCCGGUUAGACGAAAAGUUUCUGGACAAAAAAAUUCUAGGCAUCGGAUUCGUCAGAGUUUCAACGGCGGGUAUUUCAAGAAUGAAAUUUUGACUAGCGCGAAUCUAUGUAUAAGUCGUUUCUACGAUUUCGACUGAGAAUAUUCACCGGGUAAAAAAGAUCUCUUUUUACGACGAUGACGGACAAGUUUAUCAUCACCGGUUGUUUUGCGAACGCGGGAGAAUCGAUCAAGGUGAUCGCGAGUGAAAGGCAGCACUCACCGUGCGUCGGUGUUCGUGUAAUGCUCAGGCCUGUAACCAUAAUACAACGAUCAACUUGCAUUACAGAUACUGUUUCACAACGACUCACUAUCGGAUCUGGUUCACGCUAGAAUCUCGACAAUUAGUCGAUGUCUACCUACGGAGAUUCCUUGUGAGGGUGAAUUGGUACAAUAUCUGUAUUAAUAUCCUGCACUUGUUCAACUGAUCUCAUCACGCAGAAUGCUGAAGUUUUGUACCUGCGAUCCUGCAAUAACUACUAUGGUAUGGGUAUACAGAGAUAAAUAAAAUCCAGUGCCAAGUGAAAGUUGUGGCUGAUUAACGAAACGCAAGCAAUAAGACUCACGUAGCUGCAGUAAACUAGCUGUUCAAUGAAUAAAAAUAAGUAACAAUAA